rnacentral:rRNA from 1 species
CACGUAGGGGGCGAGCGUUGUCCGGAUUCAUUGGGCGUAAAGUGCGCGCAGGCGGCCCGGAAAGUCGGAUGUGAAAACUCGGGGCUCAACCCCGAGCGUGCACCCGAUACUGCCGGGCUUGAGGCAGGUAGGGGAGAUCGGAAUUCCUGGUGUAGCGGUGAAAUGCGCAGAUAUCAAGAGGAACACCUAUGGCGAAGGCAGCUCGCUGGGACGUUACUGACGCUGAGACGCGAAAGCGUGGGGAGCAAACAGG